rnacentral:rRNA from 1 species
GUAAUUCCAGCUCCAAUAGCGUAUAUUAAAGUUGUUGCAGUUAAAAAGCUCGUAGUUGAACCUUGGGCCUGGCUGAUCUGUCCUCCUAAUCGAGCGCACGGAUUCGGUCGGGCCUUUCCUUCUGGGGAGCCGCAUGCCCUUCACUGGGCGUGUCGGGGAACCAGGACUUUUACCUUGAAAAAAUUAGAGUGUUCAAAGCAGGCCUUUGCUCGAAUACAUUAGCAUGGAAUAAUAGAAUAGGACAGAGGUUCUAUUUUGUUGGUUUCUAGGACCGCUGUAAUGAUUAAUAGGGAUAGUCGGGGGCGUCCGUAUUCAAUUGUCAGAGGUGAAAUUCUUGGAUUUAUUGAAGACGAACUACUGCGAAAGCAUUUACCAAGGAUGUUUUCAUUAAUCAAGAACGAAAGUUAGGGGAUCGAAGAUGAUUAGAUACCAUCGUAGUCUUAACCAUAAACUAUGCCGACUAGGGAUCGGACGGUGGUUUUUUUAUGCCCCGUUCGGCACCUUACGAGAAAUCAAAGUGUUUGGGCUCGGGGGGGAGUAUGGUCGCAAGGCUGAAACUUAAAGAAAUUG